rnacentral:rRNA from 2 species
UCAAGCGAACAAGUGCAUGUGGUGGAUGCCUUGGCGAUCACAGGCGAUGAAGGACGCGGUAGCCUGCGAAAAGCUUCGGGGAGCUGGCAAACGAGCUUUGAUCCGGAGAUGUCCGAAUGGGGAAACCCGGCCCGUAUGGGUCAUCCCACACUGAAUCCAUAGGUGUGGGAAGCGAACGCGGCGAACUGAAACAUCUAAGUAGCUGCAGGAACAGAAAUCAACCGAGAUUCCCAAAGUAGUGGCGAACGAAAUGGGAUGAGCCUUGUACUCUUUAGCAGUGGUGUUAGCAGAACGGGAUGGAAAGCCCGGCCAUAGCAGGUGAUAGCCCUGUAUGCGAAAACACGAUUGUGGAACUAGGUGUACGACAAGUAGGGCGGGACACGUGAAAUCCUGUCUGAAGAUGGGGGGACCAUCCUCCAAGGCUAAAUACUCGUGAUCGACCGAUAGUGAACCAGUACCGUGAGGGAAAGGCGAAAAGAACCCCGGGAGGGGAGUGAAAUAGAUCCUGAAACCGCAUGCAUACAAACAGUCGGAGCCCUUUCGGGGGUGACGGCGUACCUUUUGUAUAAUGGGUCAGCGACUUACAUUCAGUGGCAAGCUUAACCGAUUAGGGAAGGCGUAGCGAAAGCGAGUCCGAACAGGGCGUUGAGUCGCUGGGUGUAGACCCGAAACCAGAUGAUCUAUCCAUGGCCAGGUUGAAGGUGCGGUAACACGUACUGGAGGACCGAACCCACUAACGUUGAAAAGUUAGGGGAUGAGCUGUGGAUAGGGGUGAAAGGCUAAACAAAUCUGGAAAUAGCUGGUUCUCUCCGAAAACUAUUUAGGUAGUGCCUCGUGUCUCACCUUCGGGGGUAGAGCACUGUCAUGGUUGGGGGGUCUAUUGCUGAUUACCCCGCCAUAGCAAACUCCGAAUACCGAAGAGUGCAAUCACGGGAGACAGACAUCGGGUGCUAACGUCCGGUGUCAAGAGGGAAACAACCCAGACCGCCAGCUAAGGUCCCCAAGAUUGGCUAAGUGGGAAACGAAGUGGGAAGGCUAAAACAGUCAGGAGGUUGGCUUAGAAGCAGCCACCCUUUAAAGAAAGCGUAAUAGCUCACUGAUCGAGUCGUCCUGCGCGGAAGAUGUAACGGGGCUAAGCCAGUCACCGAAGCUGCGGACGCACGCAAGUGCGUGGUAGGAGAGCGUUCUGUAAGCCUGUGAAGGUGUCUUGUAAAGGAUGCUGGAGGUAUCAGAAGUGCGAAUGCUGACAUGAGUAGCGAUAAAGGGGGUGAAAGGCCCCCUCGCCGUAAGCCCAAGGUUUCCUACGCAACGUUCAUCGGCGUAGGGUGAGUCGGCCCCUAAGGCGAGGCAGAGAUGCGUAGCUGAUGGGAAGCAGGUUAAUAUUCCUGCACCGUCGUAUGAUGCGAUGGGGGGACGGAUCGCGGAAGGUUGUCCGGGUGUUGGAAGUCCCGGUCCCUGCAUUGGAGAAGGCGCUCAGGCAAAUCCGGGCGCGGGAUUCAAGGAUGUGGGGCGAGCGGCCUAGUGCUGCGAAGCAAUUGGAAGUGGUUCCAAGAAAAGCCUCUAAGCUUCAGUCAUACGAGACCGUACCGCAAACCGACACAGGUGGGCGAGAUGAGUAUUCUAAGGCGCUUGAGAGAACUCGGGAGAAGGAACUCGGCAAAUUGGUACCGUAACUUCGGGAUAAGGUACGCCCUGGUAGCUUGACUGGCCUGCGCCAGAAGGGUGAAGGGGUUGCAAUAAAAUGGUGGCUGCGACUGUUUAAUAAAAACACAGCACUCUGCAAACACGAAAGUGGACGUAUAGGGUGUGACGCCUGCCCGGUGCCGGAAGAUUAAAUGAUGGGGUGCAAGCUCUUGAUUGAAGUCCCGGUAAACGGCGGCCGUAACUAUAACGGUCCUAAGGUAGCGAAAUUCCUUGUCGGGUAAGUUCCGACCUGCACGAAUGGCGUAACGAUGGCCACACUGUCUCCUCCCGAGACUCAGCGAAGUUGAAGUGUUUGUGAUGAUGCAAUCUCCCCGCGGCUAGACGGAAAGACCCCAUGAACCUUUACUGUAGCUUUGCAUUGGACUUUGAACCGAUCUGUGUAGGAUAGGUGGGAGGCUUUGAAGCGUGGACGCCAGUUCACGUGGAGCCGUCCUUGAAAUACCACCCUGGUUUGUUUGAGGUUCUAACCUUGGCCCGUGAAUCCGGGUCGGGGACAGUGCAUGGUAGGCAGUUUGACUGGGGCGGUCUCCUCCCAAAGUGUAACGGAGGAGUUCGAAGGUACGCUUGGUACGGUCGGACAUCGUACCUAAAGUGCAAUGGCAAAAGCGUGCUUAACUGCGAGACCGACAAGUCGAGCAGGUGCGAAAGCAGGACAUAGUGAUCCGGUGGUUCUGAAUGGAAGGGCCAUCGCUCAACGGAUAAAAGGUACUCUGGGGAUAACAGGCUGAUACCGCCCAAGAGUUCAUAUCGACGGCGGUGUUUGGCACCUCGAUGUCGGCUCAUCUCAUCCUGGGGCUGUAGCCGGUCCCAAGGGUAUGGCUGUUCGCCAUUUAAAGAGGUACGUGAGCUGGGUUUAAAACGUCGUGAGACAGUUUGGUCCCUAUCUGCCGUGGGCGUUGGAAUCUUGACGGGGGCUGCUCCUAGUACGAGAGGACCGGAGUGGACGUACCGCUGGUGUACCUGUUGUCUCGCCAGAGGCAUCGCAGGGUAGCUAUGUACGGAAGAGAUAACCGCUGAAAGCAUCUAAGCGGGAAACUCGCCUGAAGAUGAGGAUUCCCUGGAGGCUUGACCUCCUUGAAGGGUCGUUCGAGACCAGGACGUUGAUAGGCUGGGUGUGGAAGCGCAGUAAUGCGUUAAGCUAACCAGUACUAAUUGCCCGUAAGGCUUGAUCCU